UACGUAGGGUGCAAGCGUUAAUCGGAAUUACUGGGCGUAAAGCGUGCGCAGGCGGUUGUGUAAGACAGAUGUGAAAUCCCCGGGCUCAACCUGGGAAAUGCAUUUGUGACUGCACAGCUGGAGUGCGGCAGAGGGGGAUGGAAUUCCGCGUGUAGCAGUGAAAUGCGUAGAUAUGCGGAGGAACACCGAUGGCGAAGGCAAUCCCCUGGGCCUGCACUGACGCUCAUGCACGAAAGCGUGGGGAGCAAACAGG
rnacentral:rRNA from 1 species